GUAAACUGCUUUUGUACGGGAAGAAAAUCAGCUACGUGUAGUUGUUUGCCGGUACCGUACGAAUAAGGAUCGGCUAACUCCGUGCCAGCAGCCGCGGUAAUACGGAGGAUCCGAGCGUUAUCCGGAUUUAUUGGGUUUAAAGGGUGCGUAGGCGGACUAGUAAGUCAGUGGUGAAAUCCUGCAGCUUAACUGUAGAAUUGCCGUUGAUACUGUUAGUCUUGAGUACAUUUGAGGUAGGCGGAAUGUGGUGUGUAGCGGUGAAAUGCAUAGAUAUACCACAGAACACCGAUUGCGAAGGCAGCUUACUAAACUGUAACUGACGCUGAGGCACGAAAGCGUGGGUAUCAAACAGGAUUAGAUACCCUGGUAGUCCACGCCGUAAACGAUGUUCACUCGCUGUUUGCGAUACACAGUAAGCGGCUGAGCGAAAGCAUUAAGUGAACCACCUGGGGAGUACGAUCGCAAGGUUGAAACUCAAAGGAAUUGACGGGGGCCCGCACAAGCGGAGGAACAUGUGGUUUAAUUCGAUGAUACGCGAGGAACCUUACCUGGGCUUAAAUGUAGAGUGCAUGCGGUGGAAACACCCUUCCCUUCGGGGCUCUCUGCAAGGUGCUGCAUGGUUGUCGUCAGCUCGUGCCGUGAGGUGUCGGGUUAAGUCCCAUAACGAGCGCAACCCUUACCGUUAGUUGCCAGCAGGUUAAGCUGGGGACUCUAGCGGGACUGCCACCGUAAGGUGAGAGGAAGGUGGGGAUGACGUCAAAUCAGCACGGCCCUUAUGUCCAGGGCUACACACGUGUUACAAUGGCCGGUACAAAGGGCAGCUACUCCGCGAGGAGAUGCUAAUCUUGAAAGCCGGUCUCAGUUCGGAUUGGAGUCUGCAACCCGACUCCAUGAAGUUGGAUUCGCUAGUAAUCGCGCAUCAGCCAUGGCGCGGUGAAUACGUUCCCGGGCCUUGUACACACCGCCCGUCAAACCAUGGGAGCUGGGGGUGCCUGAAGUCUGCCACCGCAAGGAGCGNCC
rnacentral:rRNA from 1 species